rnacentral:rRNA from 1 species
CAGCGCCGCGGUAAUACGUAGGGUGCAAGCGUUAAUCGGAAUUACUGGGCGUAAAGCGUGCGCAGGCGGUUUUGUAAGACAGAGGUGAAAUCCCCGGGCUCAACCUGGGAACUGCCUUUGUGACUGCAAGGCUAGAGUACGGCAGAGGGGGAUGGAAUUCCGCGUGUAGCAGUGAAAUGCGUAGAUAUGCGGAGGAACACCGAUGGCGAAGGCAAUCCCCUGGGCCUGUACUGACGCUCAUGCACGAAAGCGUGGGGAGCAAACAGGAUUAGAUACCCCUGUAGUCCCUGUCUCUUAUACA